rnacentral:rRNA from 1 species
UACGGGGGGGGCAAGCGUUGUUCGGAAUUACUGGGCGGAAAGGGCUCGUAGGCGGCCAACUAAGUCAGACGUGAAAUCCCCAGGCUCAACCUGGGAACUGCGUCUGAUACUGGAUGGCUUGAAUCCGGGAGAGGGAUGCAGAAUUCCAGGUGUAGCGGUGAAAUGCGUAGAUAUCUGGAGGAAUACCGGUGGCGAAGGCGGCAUCCUGGACCGGCAUUGACGCUGAGGAGCGAAAGCCAGGGGAGCAAACGGG